UUUCCCCAAGAGAAAUUCAGUGGAAGCAACUAAACUGGUUUCCUGUAGCUCUGGGUCUGUAUGCCAGAUCUAAGCAAAUGCAAUGUGAAUAAAGCCAUUUUCCAGGGUAGAUCUUACUUACCACUUCUUAAUGCGACCCAGCGGAAGUUGUAUCACAGCUCACCUGUGGCAGUGGAGGGAGCAGGGGCUUAGUGGGGCCCUCUCAUCAACUGGUGAGGAGGGGAUCUGCUUUGGAAUCAGCACGGCUGUAUUGACAAAGGCUACGGGAACAUUGGCCUACGUG
rnacentral:lncRNA from 1 species